AGGAGAAGGAGAUGCAGAUGGCGAGAAGAGAGAGAACAAAGGCAGGGAGAGAACAAGAACCAAAGAGGAGAGAAGCAGCAGGGAGAGAGAAGGAGAGAAAAAAGUAGGCAGCGAAGAGAUGAACGCGUGAAUGAAGAGAACGAGAGAGAGGGCUGGGGUAUUGAAUAUUUGGGGCAUCUAUAGUAAUUGUCAAAUUCGGUUAACGGUCUUUGUUGUAAGGGGUUUUGUAAUUUUCGAUAGUUAAAGGGGUGUAAGUGAUGGUUUGUAAUUGAGGGGUGUUAGUGACAAAACGUUAUAAUUUAGGGGGUGUAUCGAUAAUUAAUACAAGUUACAUUUUGAUGAAUAAAUACAUCAAAAUGUUCAAUACAAGUUGAAUUUUCCACUUCUUAGAAACCAAACAAUAAGAAUAAAAAUUUCAAAUUCACUCAUCCCUCCUCACCAACCAAAUGUAAACUCAAAUAAUUGACCUAAAUUUACAAAAGAACACACACAUAGCUUUACAUAUCUACACUACUAAUGCACUGGAUAGUGCAAAAAAAACAACAACAAUGUAAUGUUCAACAAUACCUAGCUGAUGUAAGCUCUCCACUUCAUAAUUAUAGUAUUAAAAUUGUCAGAAUCAACCCUGUGAUAUAUCCUCUCUCUCAUCUGCAACAACGAACACAUAGAAGAGAAAAAAAACCAAAAAAUCACAAACUCCAAAUCCGAAAUUCAUCUCCACAAAUAUACAGAAAUACAAAUAAAUAAUUUGGCAAGUUACGCUGAUUCCAGUCUGCACGGCGAGGUAUCGAGAUCGAAGAACUCUGUGCCCGGCCACGGUCUCGGACCCGAACCUUGGGUAACUGGCUUCCCCAACAUUCUCUUGUUUGCGUUUUCUUUCUUCUGCUUUUACUAACACUACUUGUUUCGCCUUUCACCACUUUUCUCCCAUAGCCUCUUAUCGAAGAUCUCACCAUUUUUGGAGAAUCGCUCUGUUAAAACAAUCAGACUCAUCAAUUGAAAAAGCCUAGAAUGAGAACGAAUUCUAACCGCCAGGGGUGAGGGAGAGAGAAAAUUGAAGAUCGAAAAUGAGGGAAAACUAAAAACGAACGAAUUCGAGAAAAAAGAAUUGGUUAUAACCCAAAGAAUGGAAAAAAUUGGAGACGGAGCUCAAUACGUUUAUGACAAAUGACAGUACUUUUUUUUCAAAUAUCACUUCACUCCCUUCUGAUUUUCUGAAAUGUAUCAAAUUCCCCCUUUUUGUACAAUUAUUUUUAAGUUUGGUAAAUUUGUGAGGCGGGCAAUGUCAACUAAGAAUAGCAUCCACUACCAAUGAGACCACACCUUCCUCCAUCCCGUGCAUGGGAGUGUGUUUUUUCGUGCAAUUGGAGCCUUUAGCCACCAAAGACGGCUUUCAAAAUAUUAUUUUUUCUAAAAGGUCACCAGUAAUAUGAUAAAAUACAAACUAUUAUUUAGGAAUUUUUUUGCUGAUUCAAAAUUAGGUUCUAAAUCAGGAACCUUUUGGUGGUAGGUUUAUUUUCCUAAAAAUCUUGAAUUUUUUCGAUAUUUGAGGUAAGUUAUUUGGGGUUGUAUAUAUAUGAGAGUUUUUUUUUUGACCAGGGGGGCCAGUGAUAUAUUUCAAAAAAGUAGGGAGCUCUCUGGCAUGUGAUUAAAAACUCAGGGAGAGGUUCAGGGUAAUUUAUCCUACAAUUUUUUUUCAUUUCCAUUUGGAUUAAUUUUAUAUUUGCCCUCAUUUAUUUUUUUUUCUUUAAAUAAUGGAGGAAUCUUAUAAACAUAGACAGAGAGCUCAAAAUCUGGGAUAGUUGCUCACGUUGUGCCACGUAAUUAUGCGGGCCCGACCUCUCUCUCUUGAAAAGAAUAGUGUCUUUUUCUUUUUAAGAGUUCUAUUAUUCCCACGCAACCUAUUAUUCACCAUGGGACUGCUAUGGACGUGAUUUGGGCGAAUUGCCACUCUGCUCUCUCUCCUGCCUUUCAUCUCCUUGACUCUCUCUCCCAUACCCCAUUAAUAAAAAUUUACUAAACAUUUUUUGAUUUCUUUUACUUUCACCUUUAUAAUUUUUAUAUCAAAAAAUUUGUUAUAAUAAUUUUAUACAUUUCUUUUACUCCAUCUGCAAAAAUUUUGUUUUAUCUCAAAAUUAUUUUUAUGAUCCAUUUUUUUCUUGUAUAAAAACAUUGAAUGUGGGAGUUUAAAUUUUUUUAAAUUUAUCAUAGGGUUUUUUUUUUUUAAUAUAACAAUUUUUGAUUUUUGUUUCUUUGAUACUCAAAUGAUUCUAUUUUUUUUUCGUUUACUUUCAAUUCUGAAUAUUUAUCUAAAAUCUUUAGAUAAAAUUUAUAAUUUCGUUUACUCCCACUUCUGGUUUUUAUAAAAAAAAAAAGAUGGAUCAAAAAAUAUUUCUUUUACUUCUCCAUUAAAAUUAACAAAAACUAUUAUAAAUUUUGAUCCAUAUUAUAAAAAAAUUAUUUUAUAAAUAAUUAAUAAAAAAAAUAUAGUUGGGAGUUA
rnacentral:lncRNA from 1 species